rnacentral:rRNA from 1 species
ACGGAAAUUGCCAGAGAUGGCUUAGGUGCCUUUCGGGAACCGUGAGACAGGUGCUGCAUGGCUGUCGUCAGCUCGUGUUGUGAAAUGUUGGGUUAAGUCCCGCAACGAGCGCAACCCUUAUCCUUUGUUGCCAGCACGUAAUGGUGGGAACUCAAAGGAGACUGCCGGUGAUAAACCGGAGGAAGGUGGGGAUGACGUCAAGUCAUCAUGGCCCUUACGAGUAGGGCUACACACGUGCUACAAUGGCAUAUACAAAGAGAAGCGAACUCGCGAGAGCAAGCGGACCUCAUAAAGUAUGUCGUAGUCCGGAUUGGAGUCUGCAACUCGACUCCAUGAAGUCGGAAUCGCUAGUAAUCGUAGAUCAGAAUGCUACGGUGAAUACGUUCCCGGGUCUUGUACACCCCCGAA